GCCAUCAUAGCUCAGUGGCAGAGAUGUCUUGUAAACCAGGGUGUGAGUUCGACCCUCACUGGUGGCU